GGGAAUCCUGGGAGAGAACAGGGAUCACAGUGCCGGCCUGAGAGGCUGUCCUGGAAGAUGGCAUCCCCCUGCCACAGUGAGGGUACCUCCUCAGAACUUAUGCUCAACCUGGACAGAGUCUGCAAUGCUCUGGAUGAAGCGGAUGCGGAAGGCGGUUGAUGAUUGGCUGUAACCGCAGGAAGAAGCUGCGCUGUGAUUGGUCCGGAUCGGCGGGGCGUUUGAAACAGAGCCUGAAUCCUCCGUGGCCAACUGGAGCUCAAGAAGAACUUUGGCGGCUUUGGUGCCUGAGAAUUGGUCCUCCACGGUUUCCCCCGUGCCUUUCGGCGGCGGGAUCUAGAAUCUGGACCCCAGCUCUUGCGGGAAGACACUGUGGCAAAACCUGGGUACGGCAGUCCAGGUAGAAAACAGUACGUGUUUACAGCUGCGGAGCCAACAGGACACUUUGUAUAUGCGAGCUUCCGCUUGCCCUGGCUCUGGGAUACGCCUGUAAUUCCAGAUACACAGGAGGCUGGGGCCGGAGGGUCGCAAGUUUGAGGCCAGCCUCAACAACUUAGCGAGCUCCUGUCUCAAAGCAAAAAAUAAAGGGGCUGGGGAUGUAACUCAGUUGUAGAGCACCGGUGGGUUUAACCCCCAGUACUGCAAAAGAAAAAAUAAUAUAACGAGGUUUGUUAUGUAAAGAGGAGUACCUUAAACUCCCCGUAUUUCUUUUCUUUUUUUAAUUUUUUUUUACUUAUAGAUGGACACAAUAUCUUUAUUUAUUUUUAUGUGAUGAUGUGAUCAAACCCAGUGCCUCACGUGAGCAAGGCAAGUGCUCUGCCACUGAGCCACAACCCCCAUUUCUUGAAGGAAACUACUUCUAACUCUUUAUUAAUUUGAGUUAUAAUGUACAUACAGUAAAAUACCCAGAUCUUCAAUGUAAGAUUCCUUGAGUUUUAACAAAUGAAACUGUUACCCAAAACAAGAUUGGGACAUGGAUGUCACCUCUGAUGUUUCCUUGUGUACCCUUUCCAGUCUCUUUUUUUUUUUUUUAAUAUUUAUUUUUUAGUUGUAGUGCUCUACCACUGAGCCACAACCCCAGCCCCACUUUUUAAAAUUGACACGUUAAUAUUGCACAUUUGGGGAAUACUGUCUGAUGUUUUGAUACAUGUAGACAUUAUGUAAUAUUCAAAUCAGGAUAAGCAUAUCCAUCCCCUGAAGUAUCUAUUGUUUCUUUGUAGUGAAAACAUUCACAACAGUGAAUUAUUGUACUGCAUAUUUCAAAAAACCUAGAAAGAAGAAUUCUUCUUUUUGAAACAUACAGUACAAUUAUCAUUAUCUGGAGUUAACAUGCCUUGCAGAACACCAGAACUUAUUUCCCAUACAGUCAAAACUUUUAUUGUGGUAAAAUACAUAGAUAAAAUAGACUAACCAUUUUAAGCCUUCCUGUUCUGUGGUACUUAAAGGACAUUCACAAUAUACCACUAUCAUCACUUUGGUGUUUUUAUCACCCCAUAAGGAAACAUCCCACCCAUUUAGCAGCCUCUUCCAUCCUCUCCUUCCCCACCCAGCCCCUGACAACCACAAAUCUGCUGUCUCUAUGGAAUUGCUUUUUCUUGAUAUUUCAUAUAAAUUCAUUCAUACCA